rnacentral:rRNA from 1 species
UACGUAGGUGGCAAGCGUUGUCCGGAUUUAUUGGGUUUAAAGGGUGCGUAGGUGGUCUAUUAAGUCAGUGCUGAAAUAUCCCGGCUUAACCGGGAGGGUGGCAUUGAUACUGAUGGACUUGAGUGAAGUCGAGGUAGGCGGAAUUGACGGUGUAGCGGUGAAAUGCUUAGAUAUCGUCAAGAACACCGAUAGUGUAGACAGCUUACUAGGCUUUAACUGACACUGAGGCACGAAAGUGUGGGGAUCAAACAGG